rnacentral:rRNA from 1 species
UAACACGUGGGUAACCUGCCCAUCAGAGGGGGAUAACAUUCGGAAACGGAUGCUAAAACCGCAUAGGUCCUUUAACCGCAUGGUUGAAGGAGGAAAAGAGGCGCAAGCUUCUGCUGAUGGAUGGACCCGCGGUGCAUUAGCUAGUUGGUGAGGUAACGGCUCACCAAGGCCGUGAUGCAUAGCCGACCUGAGAGGGUGAUCGGCCACAUUGGGACUGAGACACGGCCCAAACUCCUACGGGAGGCAGCAGUAGGGAAUCUUCCGCAAUGGACGCAAGUCUGACGGAGCAACGCCGCGUGAGUGAAGAAGGUUUUCGGAUCGUAAAACUCUGUUGUUAGAGAAGAACAAGUGCUAGAGUAACUGUUAGCGCCUUGACGGUAUCUAACCAGAAAGCCACGGCUAACUACGUGCCAGCAGCCGCGGUAAUACGUAGGUGGCAAGCGUUGUCCGGAUUUAUUGGGCGUAAAGCGAGCGCAGGCGGUUCCUUAAGUCUGAUGUGAAAGCCCCCGGCUCAACCGGGGAGGGUCAUUGGAAACUGGGGAACUUGAGUGCAGAAGAGGAGAGUGGAAUUCCAUGUGUAGCGGUGAAAUGCGUAGAUAUAUGGAGGAACACCAGUGGCGAAGGCGACUCUCUGGUCUGUAACUGACGCUGAGGCUCGAAAGCGUGGGUAGCAAACAGGAUUAGAUACCCUGGUAGUCCACGCCGUAAACGAUGAGUGCUAAGU